ACGCUGGCGGCAUGCCUUACACAUGCAAGUCGAACGGCAGCACGGAGCUUGCUCUGGUGGCGAGUGGCGAACGGGUGAGUAAUAUAUCGGAACGUACCCUGGAGUGGGGGAUAACGUAGCGAAAGUUACGCUAAUACCGCAUACGAUCUAAGGAUGAAAGUGGGGGAUCGCAAGACCUCAUGCUCGUGGAGCGGCCGAUAUCUGAUUAGCUAGUUGGUAGGGUAAAAGCCUACCAAGGCAUCGAUCAGUAGCUGGUCUGAGAGGACGACCAGCCACACUGGAACUGAGACACGGUCCAGACUCCUACGGGAGGCAGCAGUGGGGAAUUUUGGACAAUGGGCGCAAGCCUGAUCCAGCAAUGCCGCGUGAGUGAAGAAGGCCUUCGGGUUGUAAAGCUCUUUUGUCAGGGAAGAAACGGUGGGAGCUAAUAUCUCCUGCUAAUGACGGUACCUGAAGAAUAAGCACCGGCUAACUACGCGCCAGCAGCCGCGGUAAUACGUAGGGUGCAAGCGUUAAUCGGAAUUACUGGGCGUAAAGCGUGCGCAGGCGGUUUUGUAAGUCUGAUGUGAAAUCCCCGGGCUCAACCUGGGAAUUGCAUUGGAGACUGCAAGGCUAGAAUCUGGCAGAGGGGGGUAGAAUUCCACGUGUAGCAGUGAAAUGCGUA
rnacentral:rRNA from 1 species